rnacentral:misc_RNA from 1 species
AAGUCGUAACAAGGUCUCCGUAGGUGAACCUGCGGAGGGAUCAUUACUGAGUGAGGGCCUCCGGCCCGACCUCCAACCCUUUGAUAUCAAAACCACUGUUGCCUCGGGGGCGACCCGGGCCUCACGGCGUCGGGCCCCCCGGUGGACAAUCUCAAAACUCUGCAUCUUUGCGUCGGGUUUUAAAGUUAUAAUUGAUUAAAACUUUCAACAACGGAUCUCUUGGUUCUG